rnacentral:misc_RNA from 1 species
GUUAUCCCACAGAAUUUUAACAUUAAAUUUGUGUAACCGAGGAAUAGUUUAUUAUGAAAGGAAUAACAUUUUCCAUGCUGCACUCCUCGUUCUCACUAGUGCUGACUGCUAAGACUGGAAAGCAGAACCUAUCUCUUCUACAAGCAAGAAAUUCAUCUCUUUUUUUCCCCUCUCCUUGGGAGGGAAUCUUGAAACAUUUACACAAAUAGAGGGUCCUUGAUCAACAUUGCACUUUUUUCUU